rnacentral:lncRNA from 1 species
GGUCUCAGGGCCCGCCCUGCUGAGUAGGGCGCCCGCGAGUGUGCCUGUCCCGUGGUGGUUGUGAGGUCGGAGACGGGGUUGCGCGGAAGGAAAGCGGGACGCGAGGGAUGGGUGUGGCUCCGGGCCGGAGCUCGCGGAGAGCGGCGGGGCCCACAGGAGGAGAGCCAUCUUCCGUGAACAUUCUCACAGACUUCUCAUUGUGUGCCCUCAUCCCCUGCUGGGAGGCACAACCAGCAUCACCACCCGCUUGUCUACACAGAAGCAUUGAGCUGCAGAGAGCUUAACCUGGCCCACGAUGACUGAAGACAGAGGAGGACCAGACUACAGUCACAUGCCACCCUCCAGGCAGCUGCUGGAUCAUCGUCCUGCCUUAUUGACUCGAAGAGCUUGUCACAGAUAAACAGGUCACCUCUGGAUCAGGUCUGCUUUAAACAAUAGCUUUCAUCAGCCCCCUCCUAAGCCUGAGAGACAUGGCCUGGCCACCUCUGGUUUUGCUCUGACCCAUCGGAUUGAAGCUGAGCAGACGUCGAGGUUUGACAGAUCCUACUUCGGGGGCUGCAGUGAGCUCAGAAAAGCAUGCAUCCUCUCUCCAACCUAGGACCACCAGGUGAAGGGGAUGUUGCCCCGGGUGCUAUGGAGGUGGGAUGAAGUCUCCAAGGAAGCUGUCUUCUCUGGAGAGUCUUCCCCAGAUUGUCUCAGGUAGCCAUAACAGCCAGAAGCAAGGCAGAGAGAAGGGAGCUGUCUAAGGAAAUCCAGUGUAUUGUAAACAGGAUAAAAGGCAUUGGGAAGCCCCACUUACCACAAGCUAAUGUGUCCCCAGGUCAUCAGAGAGAGAGAGAGAGAGGUGGAUGGCCUACCAGGAGCCCUGAGUGAGGGAGAGAAAAUUCCUGAUGAACCUGCUCACCUGUGUACAGGGCCAGGGCAAAGGUCUUGCUCUUUAUUUUGCUAAAUGAUUCCCAUGGCCCUUUGGCAUUCAGAGGGACCACAGUUUCUAGGAAGAGUCCUCUGUUGACUAGAGAAAUGGCCUCUGGUGUCUCCUGGAUCAGGUAGCUGCCUAUAUGGCACUCUUGGGAGGAAUGCAAGUCUGAGGGAAGAAGAUUUGACUUAGACUCAGGAGAGUGAAUGAAAACUGCCAAUCAGAGGGCUUAGGAAUAAUGACUUGGGCCUGGGGAGUGGGGCUUAAUGAUAGAAUAUUAGCUUGCACAUGGCACUGAGGCUGAUCUCCAGCACUGGGAGGGAAAGUGCCAUCAGUGCAUUCCAAAUCCUUAUUGUUAGUGUAUGUAUCUCGAGGAAGAAGGCAAACAGGUUCAGAGGGACUGAGCAAGGUGUCCAAAAUUGUUGAUCUCGUGGCCUAAGGAAUAUUGCCAAAUAGUCCAGCUAAUGGCCACAGGUGGCUGCCGAGCACCUAACCCGUGACUGGCACAAGUCACAAACUGAGUGUGUUUUCCUCCUUCCUCCUCUCCCCACCUCCAGGAAUCAAUGUUAACCCCAAAGCCUUCCUCAUUACAGGGAGCAGAGGCUCUACUGCGGAGCUCCACCGCAGCCCUUGCUUUCUCUCAUUUUCUUCUCUUUCUUUUUUAGAAAUUUAAGCAUACAGCCCACAUUUGCAGCUCCUCCAGCUUCUGUCAGUCAGUGCUGGCCUGGGGCACAUUUUGUUUUUCUUUCUUAAGAUUUAUUUAUUUUUAUUUUAUGUAUAUGUGUGUUUUGCCUGCAUGUAUGUCUGUGCACCAUGUGCAUGCCUGGUGCCCACUGAAGCCAGAAGAGGGCAUUAGGUCCCCUGGACCUAAAGUUACUGGUGAUUGGCAGCCACCAUGCCGGCACUGAGAACAGAACCCUGGUCUUCGGCAUGAACAGCAUUUUCUCUUAAAAUGCCCAGCCAACUCCCCAGCCCCACCUUUGGCUCCUUGAAGGCAUAAUGCUAUCUGUCUUCCUCCUCUCCUGCUCCCUCCUCCCCGGACUCACUGAGUCACAGGCUGCCCUCAGAUCUUCAGACCCUGCAAUCUCUGCAGUAGGCUCCUCUGAGAUCAGGGUGGGGUGGGUGGACAAUCACAAAAGGUUUCCUGUUGAACAUGAAUAAGGCUUCAGGACAAGAUCCAGUGGAGGACACCCAAGAUCAUAAAAGUUGUGCUUGGUUUCCAUUGGGGUGACACAAGUGGCAUGGGCGUAGGAACCUCUCUUCCCUCUCCCCGAUGCUUUUCUUCUUAGGUUUCAAAAUGGCGUUUUCAGUGACUUUUGCUGCAGAGCUUCAGAGCUAAACUAGCAGUUCCAGGGUGCGCUAACACCCCUACUUCUGGAGCAACCCCCUUUCAACAUCCACAGAGACAGCUUGUGACCCCCCUCCCCAAAACCCAACCCCAAAUAAGGCAACCACAAGCCCUGGUUGAGAAGGAGGAGUCUUCUUUCUCCCUUGCCCCAUGCCCAGCUGCCCCUCCAGGAGACAAGCUCCAGUAAUGGCCAUAAUCUUGCAGCUUUGAAGGAUGUACCCAGGACCCCUAAGGCAUGAGGCCCAAAAGAAGCCCUCUGAGGAGAGGGCCAGACAGCAGCCAUCCCUCAGAGGCCUCCUUCUCGAUGCAGGCCAUGGGGCCAACAUGUCCCAACACUGCCAGGCUUCCUUGCACAAGUCAGACCUCACAGAGUGAGGGGGACAUACGAGGAGGGCGACACGAAGCUCGACAGGAGGAUUGGGACUCAUCCAUCAUGAACCGUCAAACAGCAGGGCCAUAGCCUGCCUGAACGCUUGCCUAGUUAAAGGAACUUCUGCGGCUCACCUACCCCCAGCACCUCAGCCUCCCAGAAUCAAGCACAUUCCACUAAGGGGGGAUUAGAGGGUCAGCAACCCAGACUGGCCCCCAGCCUGCUCUCCCACAGUGCUAGGACUGAACAUCCUAUACCCCCACCCUUAAAUGGAGCUGUAGUUAAGAAGCCCAAGGCAAAAUAGAAAUUGAUGGGGCCUUUCUGUCUGUUCCCUGUUUUAAAUAGCAUACUUUGAAAGGUAAUCUUUAUUACCAUUGUUGUUGUUAAAAUCAGGAAAGCUGAGUUCUGCUGAGGGUCUCCAAACCUUGUUUAUGCCAAGGGCUGGGGCUGGAGGACAGGAAGAUUAUCUUACAUAGGAAUAGACAACAGAGGAUCCGCUGGGGUGUCUGUCCUUCCCUCCCAGUCCAGCACCUGGACCUGCUGGGCCUCCUGUUGUGGGCAGCCAGUCACAGAUGCAUGGAUCCAGGCCUGUUUUAUAUGCCAUUCCCCCUGCCCUGACUUCAGUUACACAUGUACAGACACGGCCACAAAAUAGUAAAUGGAAGAUUCAAAAGAUAAUAAAAAAAAAAAAAAAAA